UUUUUCCUACGGGGGGCAGCAGUGGGGAAUUUUGGACAAUGGGCGCAAGCCUGAUCCAGCUAUUCCGCGUGUGGGAUGAAGGCCCUCGGGUUGUAAACCACUUUUGUAGAGAACGAAAAGACACCUUUUAAUAAAGGGUGUUGCUGACGGUACUCUAAGAAUAAGCACCGGCUAACUACGUGCCAGCAGCCGCGGUAAUACGUAGGGUGCGAGCGUUAAUCGGAAUUACUGGGCGUAAAGGGUGCGCAGGCGGUUGAGGAAGACAGGUGUGAAAUCCCCGAGCUUAACUCGGGAAUGGCAUAUGU
rnacentral:rRNA from 1 species